UUCGGUCUCCAAAGCGGCGUGGCAACACCGCUUCCCAUUCCGAACAGAUGGGUGAAACACGCUAGCGUCGACGAUAGUUGUUCUGCAAGGAACCGCGAAAAUAGGUCGAGGCCGGGG
rnacentral:rRNA from 1 species